CCAUUUCUUUGGCAAAUCAUGUAUAACACGAUGGAUUUUAAGUGAUGGAAGUCGCAGUUUCUCCAGUUGUCCAGUAUGCUCCAGUAGAGUUACUUUAAGUGAUAUAAGACAUCACUAUGCAUCUCAAAUUUAUGAGAAGGGAGGUGAAACUUGAACAUGCAGAAGUCAGCUCUAUCGAUGUACUUACCAGAGCAUUUAUGAUACUGUCUUUGUUAAGGGAAGCUCAUGCUCUGUAUCUGACUAUGAUUAGUUUCAAUUUUGAAAAUCUAAGAUUGUGUUGUAAAUGGGUAAUGAGGAACUUCAAAAGCUAUAAUUUUGAAUUAGUCAGAAAAUUGUUCUAUUUAAUACAGUACACUUUAUACAUAUCAGGGUCUCCUGAUAUGGUAAAUUUGUAUAUAUUACGUUUUGAAAUACAAUAAUGGAGAGAUUAAUGUUUUUUUUC